ACCAGUCAGCGCGGAUACCAAACGCUGAGAUUUUAAGCAUUAACAACACGGAGGAAAAAACUUACAAGGAUUCCCGUAGUAGGACGCGGCGAGCAGACACGCGGAACACAGCCCAGCCUUAGAAUCGACGGCCUGCCGUUCAAGUUGUAGUCUGGAGAGCGUCUCAACGCGCGGACCGGCAGUCCCAUGGGAAAAGGGCGCCGAGCAGGGUGAGAGCCCCCGUUGUCGCCAGGAACCCUGUGCACGCACGAGGCGCUGUCUACUCGAUCGGUUGUUUGGAAGCCAGCCAAAUCGGCGGUGAAGUUCGUCCAAGGCAAAUAACGGCACGAGAGACCGAUGCAACAAGUACCUUCGCGACGGAAAAGAUGAAAGGAUUUGAAAUGAGAGUCAAACGAGUGCUUGAAAUGUCGGAGGAAGAAGCGGAUGGAGACGCGGCGACUCGCCCCGGUGUUAUGGGAACGGUGAGAGCACGGUCCGCUCGAUGUCUCGGGGCGCAGACCAGCGAGGAUCGGGGGCGCGGCCAAAAGCGGGCCUUUGAUACCGCCUGGCGAACGAUCGGUCCUCGUACUCGGUGGGUUGAACACGGCCCAUCCGCUGCGUCCUCGGCACUUGCGCGCGUCAGUCGAUGGCACUGUGGGCUCUCUCAUUCGACCGCUUGAAACACGGACCAAGGACCCGUCUGACAUGGUGCGAGUCAAACGGGCGGUAAACACCGUAAGCGCAAUAAGGAAGCUGAUUUGGCGUGGAUCCCUCACGGGGGUGCACGCCACCUGCACGUUGACUUUUGAAAGGGUUUCGAGUGGCGACAUACCUGCAGGGACGAAAGAUGUGAACUAUGCUGAGCGGGGUCGAAGUCCAGAGGAACCUGGUGGAGCCGCAGCGUAUACUGACGUGUCAAAUCGCUUCGUCUGACUUGGGUAUAGGGGCGAAGACUGAUCGAACCGUCUAGUAGCGUUCCCUCCGAAUGUCGUCAGGAUAGCUUGGAGGCUGGCGCGAGAGUUCUAGUGGGUAAAGCAAUGAUUAGAGGCAGUCAGGGGCGUAAACGCCCAUCGACCUAUUUCCAAACUUUAAAUAGGCUAGGACGCGCGGACUGCUUCGUUGAGCCGCGCCAGCGAUCAACAGCUCCAAGUGGCCAUUUUUGGCUAAAGACAGAUGGCGGAUGCGGGAUUAACGCGAAAGCCGGUUACGGUGCCCACUGCGCGCUAACCUAGAUCCACAAGGUGUUGGUCGAAUUAAGCACGCAGGAAUCGGUGGUCCAAUGGAAUCGAAAUCCUGCUUAAGGAGUGUUAAAACCCACUGCCGAAUUCAACUAGCCCGAAAAGAGCGCUGUAAGCUGCGCGACACUAUACCCGGCCAUGACGCCGUCGGGCCAAGCAGCUAGGCCCGAGAGUAGAGGGGCCGGGC
rnacentral:ncRNA from 1 species